AACGAACGCUGGCGGCAUGCCUAACACAUGCAAGUCGAACGAGACCUUCGGGUCUAGUGGCGCACGGGUGCGUAACGCGUGGGAACCUGCCCUUAGGUUCGGAAUAACUCCCCGACAGGGGUGCUAAUACCGGAUAAUGUCUUCGGACCAAAGAUUUAUCUCCUUUGGAUGGGCCCGCGUUGGAUUAGCUAGUUGGUAGGGUAAAAGCCUACCAAGGCGACGAUCCAUAGCUGGUCUGAGAGGAUGAUCAGCCACACUGGGACUGAGACACGGCCCAGACUCCUACGGGAGGCAGCAGUGGGGAAUAUUGGACAAUGGGCGAAAGGCUGAUCCAGCAAUGCCGCGUGAGUGAUGAAGGCCUUAGGGUUGUAAAGCUCUUUUACCCGGGAUGAUAAUGACAGUACCGGGAGAAUAAGCUCCGGCUAACUCCGUG
rnacentral:rRNA from 1 species